CCUUUAUUUAACCAGGUGGCCAGUUGAGAACACCUUUAUUUAACCAGGUAGGCCAGUUGAGAACACCUUUAUUUAACCAGGUAGGCUAGUUGAGAACACCUUUAUUUAACCAGGUAGGCUAGUUGAGAACUCCUUUAUUUAACCAGGUAGGCUAGUUGAGAACACCUUUAUUUAACCAGGUGGCUAGUUGAGAACACCUUUAUUUAACCAGGUAGGCUAGUUGAGAACACCUUUAUUUAACCAGGUAGGCCAGUUGAGAACACCUUUAUUUAACCAGGUAGGCCAGUUGAGAACACCUUUAUUUAACCAGGUGGCCAGUUGAGAACACCUUUAUUUAACCAGGUAGGCUAGUUGAGAACACCUUUAUUUAACUAGGUAGGCCAGUUGAGAACACCUUUAUUUAACCAGGUAGGCUAGUUGAGAACUCCUUUAUUUAACCAGGUAGGCUAGUUGAGAACACCUUUAUUUAACCAGGUGGCUAGUU